AGACUGCAAAUGACCCUGUGAACUAUCUGGAGAGAAAGAAAGAUGAUUUCUUUAUGAGUUUUAAGAUCUCCUGCCAAGGUGCCACUUCAAUCACUUCCUUUGUUGACUUCCUAUGGCUCAAGCUCAGUCCUGCUAUCUCUGCCAGCAUACGGAAAAUAAUGGUUCAAAAAAUAGCUGGAGACAUGCGAGCCACCUGCCCUGAAUUCAAUGGAAACAGAGCUAACCUGGAGAAACAUAUUCUCUACUCUCUAGCAGAAGAAGAAAAUUUUGAUAAAUACUGGAAAUACAUUCAAAGGCCAGAGGAAUUUUUCAGGGAUUAUAUUAGAGACCACAUUAAAAGAUACUGUUCAGAAAAAGAGAGUGAAAAAAUAAAAACUUUUUUAAACAUAAGUUUAGGUGACAUCAAGAAUACCAUCCUGUCUGCCAUUCAUAAGUCCACAAAGGUAGCUAAAGCUAAAGGCAGCACUGCAUCUGGCUGGCUGGAUUUGUUCUGUGACCACCUAGGGAGCAACCUGGUCUUCCCAAGGAGAGACCUGGUAAACAUAGAGCACCAGGAGCUAAUGGAUACUGAGUUCCUCAAAGAAGCCAUGAGCAAAGCUUUGGAUCCUGCAAUGAGGGAAAUAGAAGAGGAUUGUUCAAGUAAGCACAUAGAUGAAAUUGUUCCUGACAUUGAGGAAAUUCUCUCUGAACAUCUCUGUGGCUGUUGGAAACAGUGUCCUUUUUGUAAGGCAAUUUGUACAAACACCAUUCCCCAGCAUGAAGGAGACCACAGUGUGCCAUUCCACCGUCCUCAGGCUGUCAGUGGUUGGCAUUGGCAUAAAACAGACCAGUUCGACAUUAAUGUUUGUACUAGUAAUGUAGCAAGUAAUAUUUGCUUCAUUUUAAAUGACCGCUGGAGAUACAAAUACAAGAAAUAUCGAGACGCAGGAGGUGAUUAUGCCACAUGGAGCAUCACCCCAGACUCAUCUACCCAGCCAUAUUGGAAAUGGUUUGUCUGUCAUUUCAGAUCAAAGCUAGAACACAAUUAUGGCAAAAAAUUUACAGGGAAAGGUAGUAUUCCAGAUUUAUGGACCAAAAUCACAAAGCAAGAAGUCCUGAAUGACUUAAAAAAAUAAUAACUGCCACAGACAGAACACUAGAUGGGCUACAGAAAUUUUACUUCAGCCAAGGGAGCCUAAUGGAGAACACCAUGCAGGAGGAUCUGCAGUAGACAUUUGAGCUUCCUCGAGAUGGCCCACUCUAUUGGGCAAUUUUUCUGCAGACCAAUAUGAAGUUAAACUUUCAUAAAAUAAGACUGUUUAGAUGAAUUAAUGAUUUUAUAGAAUUUCUGAAUUGAUUUAAAUAGUUUUAGGCACUAGGGUUAAUGAUAGAAAGUUUAAGGAGAUGGCUUAAUUUGUUCUGCUAAAUAGAUAUGAUAAAGUUAGAAUUAAGAGCAGAAUGUGACCUUUCCCUUGUAGGAUAAUGAGAGCUACAUAGGUUUGAAAAGGAGUACAGUGAGCUUUCAUGUACUGCAAGUAUGUGAUUGUACUUGGAAGAAGAAAAUAGGCUUGGGACAAGUUAAUGCUCAAAACAUUCAUUCUAGGUUGGGUCUGAGUUCCUGGAUUUUGUGAUCUAGAGACAUAGUCACAGGUUUUGGUGGGCACCAUAAAAAGGCAAGGUAAUGAACAAGGAGUAAAUAAUUCGAUUAUUAGUAUAGAAUAGAGAAUAGAUGAUUAUCCAGUCUUGCUGAACAAGACUUCAAAAAUAAGAUGUAAGAGGGAUUGUUUCUUUGUAAAUACAGAUUGAUCAUCAUCUAAGCAUAUGGAAAACUCGCUACUGUAGACUUGGCUUGCUUAAACAUUGUUAAUCAAUAACAAAAGAAGUAUGGCUUUAGGUUUGCUAUGGAGAAAAAGAUGAGAGAACGUUAGAUGAGAAAUGCUUAGGUAUGAGUUUCAAAAGAGAAAUACACAAUCAAUACUCCUGUUGUAAUCUCCUCUUGUGUGAUGAUUUUAUUGUCUUAUUGAAGAACAUGUGUUUUGUGAUUGUUUUUAGAAAACUUGCACUCAUGGCUAUGAGGUAAUUUUUGUCAGACAUAGAGAACUUUGUCUUAGAUGGUGUUAAAAGGCUAAGAGAAAAAUAAAGUUGUUAGAGCUC